AUACCUUUCUCGGCCUUUUGGCUAAGAUCAAGUGUAGUAUCUGUUCUUAUCAGUUUAAUAUCUGAUAUGUGGGUCAGGGGAGGAUUCUUCACAGUAGCUUGCUGCUGGAAUCAUCAUUUAGUGUCGCUCAAGUGUUGCACUACACCUUCGGCCUGCCACACCCCAC
rnacentral:snRNA from 2 species